rnacentral:rRNA from 1 species
UACGGAGGGGACUAGCGUUGUUCGGAAUUACUGGGCGUAAAGCGCACGUAGGCGGAUUUGUAAGUCAGGGGUGAAAUCCCGGGGCUCAACCUCGGAACUGCCUUUGAUACUGCAAAUCUCGAGUCCGGAAGAGGUGAGUGGAAUUCCUGGUGUAGCGGUGGAAUGCGCAGAUAUCAGGAGGAACACCAAUGGCGAAGGCAGCUCGCUGGGACGGUACUGACGCUGAGGCGCGAAAGCGUGGGGAGCGAACAGG